AUCAAAUAUUGCUGCAGCUAUUGGAAUAAAAAAUUCUUUGAAUUUGUGUUCGAACAAUGAUUAAAAAUUAUAUUGAGGAUCGAACCAUGGUUUAAAAUAUACAUAUACGGUAUAGAUAUAAGGUAAUUGUAUGUAUUUUAUCUAUAUCUAUGGAGUUCCAACCCCAAAUUGUGAAUACGGUUAACCACACCAGACAAUAUCGCAUAUACUAACUGAAUGGCCUAUUAGGAAAUUUGACGGCGAACUCUAAGAUAUGUUCAAUCCCCGGAAGCUAUUGAAUGUAUUCAAAAUCUCGACAUCCAAAAGCAGAUAAAUUGGUUCACUAUUCUAGUAAAAAAUUACAUAUAUUUAUAUACAUUGUUGUUAUUAUUGUCAUUGUUAUGCUUAAUGUAUUGCUGAUAUAGCCUUAUUGAUGUUCUAUUUUAUUAAUUGUUAUAAUUAUCAUAAACAUUAUUACUUGUUUUCUAUUUUGCC